ensembl:lncRNA
GUGAAAUAGGCUUGUUGAAGUGUCAUCUUUAUUUUAUUACUUAUCGAUAAUGCCGCCUUUGGUGCCGCCUUUGGUUUGCUUAUCAAUGCACAGCACCUUUUUUCCCACUCUUAAAAAAUAAAACAAUUGUAUUGUCAUGCGAAUGUUUUACCGUGCGUGAAGUAUUAAAUGCAUUUGCCAUUACUAAAUGUGGAACUUUUUAACACACAAACACACAUUUGAUUCAUAUUUAAGCAGUUUUCUUCCUCAAAUGAAUUGGAUGAUGAUAUUAUAUAAUAUUUGCGAGAGGGAGAUAAUCUGAUUUCAUUGGUCCUCAACUCACACAUCAGACACUUCAUUCAAGAUAAUUGUAGUUAGCCCUGGGUUAGCCUGCGCCCUGAAGCAGAUUUACCAAAUUGGCUUAAAGGUGAGCCACUUUCAUGGUACCGGUUAUCCCAAACUGAACUCAGAAUUGACCAAAGUUACCUCACUAACUCCUCAAACUACAUUCAUAGUAUAGUGCAUCUGAUCAGCUAAGCCUGCAUGAAUACUGCUGGAAAUUCCUGAAUGUGUACACAGACACACAGACGUCAAUUAUGUUCAAACUUCCCACUUUACUUUAGAUAAACAAAUUGCAUGUCACUCACGUGUGAGGUUCCCAAAGAGACAAAAGUGUAUUAUUUGCAAAAGUUGACCAGCUUCAGUUGGAAAAGAGAUUCACAAAAAUGUACCUAUUGAAAUUAUUUAUUUAUUUCUGACAGAAUUCCUUUUUGAUCAUGUUUCAGCCUGAUUGUAAUGAGCAUGAAUCAUCUUGGCCUAUCUUUUCCAAUCUCCAUGUUAAUUAAGGCUGAUAAGGCUUAGGACCCCUGAGCAGAUCACUGGAUUUGAGAAGUGUGGUUCUGCUGCUGGCUGGUCCUCUCCCGGUCAUUGGGUCACGGUCGCUGGUCCAGGUUGGGUUCCGCAUCAGGGCCUCCAAGGGACUGAGUGGCGGGCGGGAGGGGCUGCUCUCCCUGGGACUGAGAGAGUGCGAGGUGCUAUAAAGGGACUCAUAGCGAGUGUUGGGUCUGGCGUCUGCCGACGGCCCCCAAGACUCCAACUUCAGGGUGGGUUUCGGGCGAAUAGCUGAUCCCUCGUCAGAUGGUUUGCUAUCCAUGCACCCUCCUCCCAUCACCAAGCCACCUACAUAUUUCCCCUCCUUUUUCAUCUCUCCACACUUUUCAUUCCCAGGUCCACCCUAAAAGGGAAUAAAUGAGAUUAUUAGAAUGGAACUGAUAUGUUUAAAUGAAACUAUUCUCGCAGACACGUACCUAUGAGUGGCUUUUACUUCAAAACUGUCCUACAUACCUGCGUUAGAGUUGAGACAUUGAAGAGAGGAUUGGACUACCUCAGGGAAAACCUUGAGGGUUUGGCUUUCUCUUUGCAUACAAUUCCAAUAUUCACUACCUUGUACCUACCUCUUUCUUGUUGUCAUCUUUCUUUGUUUUUUUCUUAGAUUCUCCCUCAACAUCGGAACAAGAGUCCUGUGACCCCAAAAAAUACCAAUGUAAAUUUAAGGAGAAUGAGUCAAUAAGCUAUUUUGGUAUCACAUGUUUGUGGUCAUAACAAAACUCUCAACUCUCCCUUAUUUGUAUCUUCUUCUUGUCUUUCUCACUUCCAGAGGAAAGACAGUGUUCCAAACAGUAUCAUCUGCAUCUCCAAAUCACAUUUACCUUCUUGUCUUUCUUCUUUUUCUUCUCAUCAUCAUCACUUCCAGAAGAGGAACCCUACAGGGCAAAAAGAGGACGUGGUCCAUCAGAUUCCAGUGUUCACCUCACUGUUGUGCAUCUCCAAAUAACAUUUACCUUUAUGGAGACUUACCUUUUCUUUCUUCUUCUUCUUCUUUUUCUUCUUCUUCUUUUUCUUAUCAUCAUCAUCACUUCCAGAUGAGGAGUCAUCCUAGACACACAUAAAUACAGUACAUGGGGAUGAAAUACUAUCCUAUUUCAUUAGCCUCCACUAUGCGCACUGGGCUCAUAACACAUAGAGGGGCUCAUAAAUAACUCCCAAAUAGAUUUGUGUUACUUACCUUUUUCUUCUUCUUGUCUUUCUUCUUCUUCUUCUUCUUAUCCUUCUUCUUGCCUUUCUUCUUAUCCUUCUUCUUGCCUUUCUUCUUAUCCUUCUUCUUGUCUUUCUUCUUCUUAUCUUCCUCGCUGUCAGAACCAGAAUCCUGGGUACACAGGAGAAGCGAUCCACAGUCACAUUCUGAUUGUUACUGUCGUUAGUUUGAGGAUCACUCUCUAAGACAGUCAAUUAAAAAAGGUACCUUCUUUUUCUUCUUUUUCUUGUCUUCCUCGCUGUCAGAGUCCUGGACACAAAUAUAAAUAUGCUGGUCAUUCAGAUAUGACUAGAUAUCUCAAAUGAACUGUUCUUUAAAACAUGGACCCUCCCCAAUACAGGACAGUUGAGACACACCUUAUCCUUCUUCUUAUUUUUCUUCUUGUCCUUCUUCUUCUUGUCUUCCUCGCAGUCAGAGUCCUGGACUCACAAGAUACAUAUUCU